ACCCAGCAAGCACCACCACCAACUACAGCAGCGAGCAACAGACGCCGCUCGUUGUUACAAGUUGCUUGCUGGUACUUGGUACUGCAUCGAUUGAUUCUAAGUCAUUCAGUUAGUGUGUCGAUGGGACACUUUGUUUGUUCCUGGUUGCGAUCUUUUUUUCAUCUUCUUCACUCUUGAGACCACCUGUUCCGCUGAGUCCUCUUUAGUUCCACCAGUCGGUAACCCUUCAACUUUGCACCUAGCCUAAAAACUUGCCAGAAUUGUGCUUCCGCCCACAUCUGUAAACAGAGUGAGCAGAACUUUCUUCAAUAGUAAUUGUUUAAGGAAUUGAAACAAAAGAGAUGUCGGAACGCUGCCGCUCGUAUACGACAUUGAGAGACGCGAAUAACAAUAACACAUACACAACUACAGUGCAAAGUGCCAGUCAGCACAAGAACAAAUCAUCGGAUAACAAGACGUGUGUACAAGUGACUGCUAAAGUCCUGUUCGGAUCCGUUCAGGCUAUUUCCAGACUCAAACACGACGAGAGAAUGUCAAGGGAAAACAAAAGAAUAUAAAAACUUAUGCUAAUCCAAUAUUCUACAGUACAGUACGUGAAUUAGCUACGUAGCCUUUUUUGGUCUGUUUGAUCAGCCAAAAAAAUAUAUAUAUUUAUAGAAGGUUUUAAUUGACCCAUAGCUCCGAGUUCAACGUAUUGAGCUUCUUGAUACGUUUCUCCUAUGACCCACUUGCUCAAACCAUAUCUGACAAUGGAAAUCCUAAGGUCUAUGGACUAACAGACGAUAUUAGAACAUUAAUAUUAUACCUAAUAAUAGGUAGAUAAUGUUUACAAAAAGUGAAAGUGAAUCAUUCUACAGCAGUAAAAUGCAUAUAUAAUGAAUGUACUUUUGUUUUUACUUGUAAGUAAAUAAUAAUCAACUGAUUAACAAAAACCUACCUAUAGAUGGGAUAAUCAUUAUUUGCUAAAUGCUGAUAAUACUUUGGUAAUCCAUAGUGCCCAUAAAAUAUCAACUUUCACAUUAAGUUGAAGAAGCAUUGAAAUGAAGAAAAUUUGAAGAGACAACCGCAAUAAGGAAUUCGGAAAGGAGAAAGCUCGUGUAAUUUUUAAUGAGAUUUUCAACAAAGUCUAUCUUUUUUGAUUCACUGUUACAAUGCAAUGUUGACUUCGUUUGUUAAUUGUAAUUUUCUUCGUCAGUUCCGUGCUAUUUGACGAAGAAUCGUUUAUUUACACUAGCGCAUAAAAUAACUAACUUUAUUCAAAUUGCAUACGCAUAUAAAUAUGUAUGCAUGUGAGUGCGAUGAGUGACAAUUUAAUAAAAACAUUUCUGUUUACGUUUGUGAUUUCGUUCAGCUCAAUUUUCUCAGAAAGGAACGUUAUGAAGUCGAAUAAGAUUUGAGAGAAGAUCCACAACAAAAACAAUAACGUCUUUUUGAAUCUACAAUCAACCAGCUAGCAUUUUAGACGCGGAGCUCCAGCUUCUAGCUAUUAGCGGGAUUAAUUGAAGCAGGCGGUGCAUUAGCUCAUAAACAAUUACUUAAUUAAAGUAGUGCCAGGACUCCAUAAACAUAUUGGCUGCAGAAGACGUUAAAUCUAAUUUUAGUGCGGCGACAUAGAAGCGGAUCUUUGUCAGGAUUGUUCG
rnacentral:lncRNA from 1 species